rnacentral:misc_RNA from 1 species
UUCAUCCUAAAUGAUGAGUAACUCAAGUAAGCCAUGGAUUAACAUCCAAAUGACGCUUUAUGUCAUAGUUACUCUGAUAGAUGAGGCCUCUAUUUAGCUCUAUGUUGUCACUACUAACCUAAAAAUAUUGUUAUAGUAGUUGUAUUUUUAUGUAUUUAAGUUUGAAAAUAGGUAAUUGUUUGAUAUAUGCAAAAAAGAAUUGCAAAACAAGGCAACUUUGCCAAGGGGCUCUGUCUUUGUUGAUCUCCUCUUUUUCCCUGUUGCCAAUAUCAUACUUGGACAAGCUUGGAACAAUUCUAGUUGAUGAGCUAAUAUAUGGUUGUAACCAGCUGUUUCUCACUUGGCUACACUAUCCAUCACUCUUGAUUGGACGAUUAUAUAUUUG